rnacentral:rRNA from 1 species
GGGGAACCAGGACUUUUACUGUGAAAAAAUUAGAGUGCUCCAGGCAGGCCUAUGCUCGAAUACAUUAGCAUGGAAUAAUAGAAUAGGACGUGUGGUUCUAUUUUGUUGGUUUCUAGGACCGCCGUAAUGAUUAAUAGGGACAGUCGGGGGCAUCAGUAUUCAAUUGUCAGAGGUGAAAUUCUUGGAUUUAUUGAAGACUAACUACUGCGAAAGCAUUUGCCAAGGAUGUUUUCAUUAAUCAGGAACGAAAGUUAGGGGAUCGAAGACGAUCAGAUACCGUCGUAGUCUUAAUCAUAAACUAUGCCGACUAGGGAUCGGACGGUGUUAUUUUUUGACCCGUUCGGCACCUUACGAGAAAUCAAAGUGCUUGGGCUCCAGGGGGAGUAUGGUCGCAAGGCUGAAACUUAAAGAAAUUGACGGAAGGGCACCACCAGGGGUGGAGCCUGCGGCUUAAUUUGACUCAACACGGGGAAACUCACCAGGUCCAGACACAAUGAGGAUUGACAGAUUGAGAGCUCUUUCUUGAUUUUGUGGGUGGUGGUGCAUGGCCGUUCUUAGUUGGUGGAGUGAUUUGUCUGCUUAAUUGCGAUAACGAACGAGACCU